rnacentral:lncRNA from 1 species
AGGCAGGCAGAGUAGGAAACCAAACAAACGACAUGGAGGGUGGACAUAUACAUAUAUACUUACUACUACUAGAGUCAGUUGGUUUUAGCUAGGAAAGUCAGUCGGUCGGUCUGCGUAGGGAAGGGAAGGACGACACACUCACUGGUGAAGUGAAUUGUACAGUUUUGAUGGCCGCAAACGGGGGAAAUUUUAUAUGUAGGUGCUGACUGACACACAUGGUGGCUUGGCUGCCGGGUGCAUGCAUGGUGCCUUGUGAUUUGGCCAUGCACUCCCUCCCCCGUAUCCGUGUGCUUACCUUACCACCUACUCUAUAUGCAUGAUGAUGAUGAUGAUGAUGAUGAUGACACUGCUACCAGUUACGGAAUGGUGAAUAUAUAUCACACACAUAGAAUCCCUUUAGUUGAGAGGCUUAUUUUUUCUUCUUCUGUUUGAAUUUGAAAGAAAUUUGAUCCUCUGCCAUCAAACACCCCGUAUCGUCUGUACAAAGUUCCAUCUCACCGUUCCAAUUCUCCUUUCGAGAUUCCAGGAUAAUUUAUACUCCUUAUGUAAAGAAAUAUAAGAGCGUUUAGAUCACUACUUUAGUGAUCUAAAUUUUCUUAUAUUUGUUUACGGGGGUGAGAAGUAUCUUAAGUUCGAUUGACCCUUCCCCGACCCUCUCGUCGCCCGAGCCGGGCGACUCGGGGGAAACCUUGCUCGUCGGUGGCCUGCCCCCACCUCCCUCCCACCCCGUGUCGCCGUCGUCAGAGGGCUGGCCGGCAAAGCCGCGCUGUGCCCUGGGAUGGUGGCGGCGGGGCUGCUUCUCUUCCCCUCGCCCCUGCCGUCCACUCCGCCCCCUUCCCCAGAUCCGGACCCUGGCGGCCUCCACCGGUGGCAAGGGCGGCCUCCACCGGCGCGUUGGCUGAUUGGGUCGCAUCCCACGGUUGCGGUUCCUCUGCUGCAGUCUGCCCCGGAUGGGAUCUGGGGCCACCCCUGCCGGUCACGGUACUCCCCGUCCGUCCUUCGUGAUGGUCGGGUGCGCUCAACUCGCUGCGGCUCCCCACCCCCGCUCCCCAACCCUCCCCAUCCCCUGGUUCGGCUUCGGGUCGACUUCUUCGGGAGGCGGCCAUGAAGGUGCCCGGUUUGCCCGACGGCAUCUGCCCCCUGUAGCGCGCCGGGAUGUUUGGUUGCCCGUGAGUCCUCUUCACCACCCACCCACCCCCGGCAGGGGCGGCUUCGGCCCGGCAACCAUGGACCUGCGCCCCUCCUGUGUUUGUGGCCAGCCGGAGCGGAUUCGGAUCCAACGCGCCUUGGAAGUUGCACUCUUUCCGGCUUCUUCAGUUUGUUGACUCCUUGGCAUCUCCGCACCACCAUCACCCUGCUGGCGCCCUUGGUAAUAAUUCUCAUCAAAACCGAUUAUAACCAUCUUAUCUAGAUUUCUUACUAAAGAAAUAGUACUAGUCAUUUAAUGUUUCAAAAAUAUUAAGGAUCUCCUUAUUUAUAAUUGUCUUAUCUAGUAUUUUUACUAGUAAGUAAUAGUAAUCACUUAAUGUUUCCAAAACAAAGAUGUUACCGGGCGCCAGCAGGGUGAAUUAAUGUUUCUCAUCAAAACGCGCCUUAAUGUUUCUCAUCUACACUAUUUAAAAAUACUAGUCAUUUAGUGUACUAGACAAUUAUAAAUAAGGAGAUCCUUAAUAUUUUGGAAACAUUAACCGAUUACUAUUAUUUGACUAAAUCUUGCAUGUAAACAAACUCCUAGGUUCUCCUUUUCUUGGAAACACCUCAUAACUUUAUUCAUACUCGCAACCAUUACAGUACAGUGCUUUGGAUUCAAGAUGCAAAAUCAUACAAAGUAACUCAUAGAACCAAGAAUUACAAGGAGGCCUCUUGGAUACAUCUUCCAGACGGUAUCAAUCUUUGCAAGACGAAAAUUAUCAGUAGUUCAAUAAAAGGAUUGCAAUUGGACUAGAGUUGUGAUAUCGCCACUCAUUCACCUGGACAAACUUGAUCACCAAUAAAGGUUACUGAACCAUAGUAUGCUUCCUAUGAAACCAACUAUGAGCCUAAAACCAGUCUGGUUCCAAGCAAGCGAUCGGGUAGUUUAAUCCCUAUCGCCCCCUUUAAUCUCUCACUGAAUGCAGUUAACCUCGAUCCUUGGCCAUCGGGUUAGCCCCAAUUCAUUGUCUUGGCCAUCGGGUUACCGUAUGCUUACCCUUACCAUCUAUAUGCAUGAUGAUGAUGACAUCGCUACCAGUUACGGAAUG